UUUUGACCUCGGAUCAGGUAGGGAUACCCGCUGAACUUAAGCAUAUCAAUAAGCGGAGGAAAAGAAACCAACAGGGAUUGCCCUAGUAACGGCGAGUGAAGCGGCAACAGCUCAAAUUUGAAAUCUGGCUCUUUUAGAGUCCGAGUUGUAAUUUGCAGAGGGCGCUUUGGCUUUGGCAGCGGUCCAAGUUCCUUGGAACAGGACGUCACAGAGGGUGAGAAUCCCGUACGUGGUCGCUAGCUAUUGCCGUGUAAAGCCCCUUCGACGAGUCGAGUUGUUUGGGAAUGCAGCUCUAAAUGGGAGGUAAAUUUCUUCUAAAGCUAAAUACUGGCCAGAGACCGAUAGCGCACAAGUAGAGUGAUCGAAAGAUGAAAAGCACUUUGGAAAGAGAGUCAAACAGCACGUGAAAUUGUUGAAAGGGAAGCGCUUGCAGCCAGACUUGCUUGCAGUUGCUCACCCGGGCCUCUGUGCCCGGUGCAUUCUUCUGCAGGCAGGCCAGCAUCAGUUUGGGCGGUGGGAUAAAGGUCUCUGUCACGUACCUCUCUUCGGGGAGGCCUUAUAGGGGAGACGACAUACCACCAGCCUGGACUGAGGUCCGCGCAUUUAUGCUAGGAUGCUGGCGUAAUGGCUGUAAGCGGCCCGUCUUGAAACACGGACCAAGGAGUCUAACAUCUAUGCGAGUGUUUGGGUGUCAAGCCCGAACGCGUAAUGAAAGUGAACGGAGGUGGGAACCCGCAAGGGUGCACCAUCGACCGAUCCUGAUGUCUUCGGAAGGAUUUGAGUAAGAGCAUGGCUGUUGGGACCCGAAAGAUGGUGAACUAUGCUUGAAUAGGGUGAAGCCAGAGGAAACUCUGGUGGAGGCUCGCAGCGGUUCUGACGUGCAAAUCGAUCGUCAAAUUUGGGCAUAGGGGCGAAAGACUAAUCGAACUAUCUAGUAGCUGGUUCCUGCCGAAGUUUCCCUCAGGAUAGCAGUAACGUAUUCAGUUUUAUGAGGUAAAGCGAAUGAUUAGAGGCCUGGGGGUUGAAACAACCUUCACCUAUUCUCAAACUUUAAAUAUGUAAGAAGUGUUUGUUGCUUAAUUGAACGUACACAUUUGAAUGAAACGUUAUUAGUGGGCCAUUUUUGGUAAGCAGAACUGGCGAUGCGGGAUGAACCGAACGAGGGGUUAAAGUGCCGGAAUAUACGCUCAUCAGACACCACAAAAGGUGUUGGUUCAUCUAGACAGCAGGACGGUGGCCAUGGAAGUCGGAAUCCGCUAAGG
rnacentral:rRNA from 1 species